rnacentral:rRNA from 1 species
UACAGAGGGUGCUAGCGUUGUUCGGAAUCAUUGGGCGUAAAGGGCGUGUAGGCGGUUUUGUUAAGUCAUGUGUGAAAUCCCUCGGCUCAACCGGGGGAACGACGCAUGAAACUGGCAAGCUAGAGUACCAAAGAGGGGGGUGGAAUUCCCGGUGUAGCGGUGAAAUGCGUAGAUAUCAGGAGGAACACCGGUGGCGAAGGCGG